rnacentral:rRNA from 1 species
UUGUUGGUAAGGUAACGGCUUACCAAGACUACGAUGGGUAGGGGCCCUGAGAGGGGGAUCCCCCACACUGGUACUGAGACACGGACCAGACUCCUACGGGAGGCAGCAGUGAGGAAUAUUGGACAAUGGAGGAGACUCUGAUCCAGCCAUGCCGCGUGCAGGAAGACGGUCCUAUGGAUUGUAAACUGCUUUUAUACAGGAAGAAUAAGGACUACGUGUAGUCUGGUGACGGUACUGUAAGAAUAAGGACCGGCUAACUCCGUGCCAGCAGCCGCGGUAAUACGGAGGGUCCGAGCGUUAUCCGGAAUUAUUGGGUUUAAAGGGUCCGUAGGCGGGCUGUUAAGUCAGGGGUGAAAGUUUGCAGCUCAACUGUAGAAUUGCCUUUGAUACUGAUGGUCUUGAAUUAUUGUGAAGUGGUUAGAAUAUGUAGUGUAGCGGUGAAAUGCAUAGAUAUUACAUAGAAUACCGAUUGCGAAGGCAGAUCACUAACAAUUGAUUGACGCUGAUGGACGAAAGCGUGGGUAGCGAACAGGAUUAGAUACCCUGGUAGUCCACGCCGUAAACGAUGGAUACUAGCUGUUUGGAUUUCGAUCUGAGCGGCCAAGCGAAAGUGAUAAGUAUCCCACCUGGGGAGUACGUUCGCAAGAAUGAAACUCAA